GUAGGUGGCAAGCGUUGUCCGGAAUUAUUGGGCGUAAAGCGCGCGCAGGCGGUUCUUUAAGUCUGAUGUGAAACGCCCACGGCUCAACCGUGGAGGGUCAUUGGAAACUGGAGAACUUGAGUACAGAAGAGGAAAGCGGAAUUCCACGUGUAGCGGUGAAAUGCGUAGAGAUGUGGAGGAACACCAGUGGCGAAGGCGGCUUUCUGGUCUGUAACUGACGCUGAGGCGCGAAAGCGUGGGGAGCAAACAGGAUUAGAUACCCUGGUAGUCCACGCCGUAAACGAUGAGUGCUAAGUGUUAGGGGGUUUUCGCCCCCCUUAGUGCUGCAGCUAACGCAUUAAGCACUCCGCCCUGGGAGUACGGCCGCAAGGCUG
rnacentral:rRNA from 1 species